rnacentral:rRNA from 1 species
GAUGAACGCUGACAGAAUGCUUAACACAUGCAAGUCGACUUCUGGCUGACUGGCGAGUAACGCGUAAAGAACUUGCCUCACACAUAGGGACAACAUUUGGAAACGAAUGCUAAUCUCUGAAACUGUGAGAGGGCUUUGCGUCCCAUUAGCUAGUUGGAGAGUUAACGGCUCACCAAGGCGAUGAUGGGUAGCCGGCCUGAGAGGGUGAUCGGCCACAAGGGGCCUGAGAAACGGCCCUUACUCAUUCGUGAAGAAUGAGUGGGGAAUAGUUGAAAAUGGACCAAAGUCUGAUGAAGCAAUUCUGUGUGCAAAAUAAAGUUUUCGGAAGGAAAAGUGCUUUCAGUUUGGAAGCGGUACCAACAGAAGAAGUGACGGCUAAAUACGUGCCAGCAGCCGCGGUAAUAC